ensembl:lncRNA
UCCUUGGGCAACCUGUUCCAGUGCAUCACCACCGUCUGAGUGAAAUAUACCGCUGUUAGAAUCCCAACAGCCUCACGCUUCUUUUUAUUUUUCUUACACGACACACAGCCACCACAGUGUCCUGGUUACAGGAGUAUUUCUCUACUAGCUAUGAAGAAUUGAGAACAAGAAAAUGAAGCUGCUUGGAAAAUCAAUGAGUAGAUCUCAGAUUUUGCACGACUGAAGUUUGAAACUUUCUUGUUUCAAACUGUCAUGUCUGAGGGAAAAAAUGAGAAAAAAAGAACCCUCCAAGUAUCUAAGGCCUAAAGUCAGUGUACAAUAGGGGCUGUGUCAUGGAAAGAAGUGACUGAAAAUCAGCAUAUCCAUGUGCAUAUCCAUGACAGUGCUGCAGCAAGUGGUAUCAAGUAAUGCAUUUGGAUGCAUAAAUGGGUGUAGCAGGCUGGGCUUGAAUGUAAAGAUAUUCAGACUCUGCUACCCAGGCUGCCUCUAGCUCUGCUGUCUGGCAUACUUCAGGAGUGAAAGAAAGCAAUGUAUUGCUGGACAACAGCUUCGGAAGUGCUUCUGCUAAAGAAGCGGAUGAUGGACUAAAUAGUUGAAGAUAAACCAAUACCUUUUACAGAACUGACUGCACCCACAAAUACAGCUUCCUUGGCUGGGGCUUUCAGUGUGUUUUUCCUCACAGAUCAGACUGAACAUUUUUUCCCAAGUUUGUCUUGCCCAGUGACAUUUCUUGGCUGACGUUUCAUCUUCUUUGGCAGCCGCAGAACUGUACUUAAUGCUCGAACAUACUGUGAUGGCAGAUUCAAAUUGAUGGCAGAUCCAACCCACCCCACAUAUGUGCCUUACCCUGCCGUGGGAUAAGUAAAUGACAACCAAAGCAGCUUUUGGACCGCUGUAUUUUCAGGCCGCUGUGAUAAGGCAAAGGGUGUAACUGUGUUUAGGGUCAGUUCACUUUUGGAUUUGAGAUUUAAGACGCUGUGGCCAGCUCUGUCAUAAAUGUUUGGCAGACAGUCAGUAGCACAACAGUCUCAGCCAACCAGAUUUAAUGUGUCACUGCGUAUGGCAGAGACCUACAGGUGAAUCUGCAGCUGCAAGAAAGUCUUCUUUUUAAUCUGAUUCAUUCUCAUCUAUGAAAAUUUGUACCAGUUCUUUUUUUCCUGGAGUCAAUAGAGGUUUAAUUCUAUCCGCUUCCCAUUGCUUGAAAUUUUCCAUCUAUAAACGCAGCAUAUGUGUAUACACACACAAGUAUAUAUUUGCCUUAAAAAAACCAACCAGACGUACCACUCAGUAUCUGACAAGUGUCAAGUGUUCAUAACUGUCUGUUUCAGAAAGUUGUUUUCCUAAAACUUCCUUUUGCAGUUCCAAUUAGCCUGGCAGACAUUCCCAUUAUACAAAGCCCUGCCUUUGCUACCAUAUUACUGAACAUAUUUGAGAUUUCUGGUCCAUUUUCAAACUUUCUGCUGACCCUCAUUUAUUUCUUUCCCAAACCUUCUGAAUCUCUUUUCUAGUCUGCCAGGUCCACAUUUCUCUGCUUUGAAGAUCAAUUCAAACAAUUUUCCUUUCAGUGUUCUAUUAUUGUACGUAAUCGCACACACUGUUCUUCAGUAUUUGAGAAACAACAGAAUUUGAUGUUUUAGUUUACUUUGUGACUGCUCCAGAGUAAAAUGCUAUAGAAAAGUCAACUCCUCAAAGCAUUUCAGGAGUUUUCCAUUUGAGAUGCUACUGAAUAGUACUGCUCUUUUUGCUCAAAUGGAUCAUCAAAUUUAAAGGCCUUGCAAGGAUUAUUUUCUUCCACUUGAAUAAAAAUUACUAAUG